rnacentral:siRNA from 1 species
UCGCUGUAGGAACUUUGACGG